rnacentral:rRNA from 1 species
CAACUCUCAACAACGGAUAUCUUGGCUCCCGCAACGAUGAAGAACGCAGCGAAAUGCGAUACUUAAUGUGAAUUGCAGAAUUCCGUGAAUCAUCGAGUCUUUGAACGCAUAUUGCGCCCGAGGCUUCGGUCAAGGGCAUGUCUGCCUCAGCGUCGGUUGA